rnacentral:misc_RNA from 1 species
GAAAUGCGAUAAGUAGUGUGAAUUGCAGAAUUUAGCGAAUCAUCGAAUCUUUGAACGCACAUUGCGCCCCUUGGUAUUCCAUGGGGCAUGCCUGUUCGAGCGUCAUUUCAACCCUCAAGCACUGCUUGGUGUUGGGCGUUUGUCCCGCCUACGCGCGUGGACUCGCCUCAAAGUCAUUGGCAGCUGUUCCCCUUCGGCUCGUAAGCGCAGCACAGUCGGCGCCCGGAGCUCUGGUGGGAUGGCGUCCAGCAAGCUAUAUUUUCAGGCUUGACCUCGGAUCAGGUAGGGAUACCCACUGAACUUAAGC